rnacentral:lncRNA from 13 species
UGUGGUGUAUGUGAUGUGUGUGUAUGUGAUGGGUAUGUGGUGUAUGUGAUGCAUGUGUGUGGUGUGUGUCAUAUGUAACAUGUGUGGCAUAUGUGAUGCAUGUAUAUGUCAUGUGUGUGGUAUGUGUUGGGGGUUUGUGGUGUGUGACAUAUGUAAGGUAUGGAUGUGAUGUGUGUGUAUGUGAUGGGUGUGUAGUGCAUGUGUGUGGUGAGGGGGUGGCUACUCACACUCAGAAGCUCUCCACUGUCCCCUUCCUAAGGAAGGCUAUAUACCAGUUGCCCAGGGCAACUCCCUGGGUAUCCUGCCAGCCCACACCCUCCCUCAGCUGGGGAGCAUAAGGCAGGAAGGGAAGGGGAGGUGGGAAGAACCUGGGGGACAAAGGACCUUUGUUGCCCUUCCUCACUCAGGCACAGUCUGGGGAAGACUUUGGCCGCAGCUCACACUAGAAGGCUGUUUACCAGACCUGCUGGAGCCUCUGAAGGGCAGCAGCCAGCUCACACCACAUGCCCUGGAUGGCCAGAAGGCACAGGAGACCACAGAGCAUACGAGUGGGGCAAGAGGAAACCAUCUAUCAACAAACAGGGACCAGAGCAAAUGAAGUUCCAACGUCUUGCUCACGCUCCUGCAUGGCCAGGAGUUUCAGCUGCUCUGAAAUGACUCCCAUGUCUCCUGAUAUAAUUUCUGGCUCACUAUAUAGCCUAAAUAUUGCAUCUUUUUCUUCCCAUUUUAUGUCACUGGAAUUAUCUAUACUCCACUCCCUUUAAAAACAGCACUCCUCUUCCUGGUGGACACCAAAGCACUUUGAGAAGAAGGAGGAAUGCAUGUAUUCCUAAACAAUGAACUUCAGAGAAAUUAACAGGCAAAGGACCCAGUACUACCAACAUAAAAAUGAAAAUGUAAAUUAAACCCAAAGAGAAAUGGCUUCUUGGCUUGUCUGCCUAAAAGGGAGUCAAUCUCACUUUGAAUCAGAUCACUCAUUUUUUUCUUCAAUAUUUCAAAAUGUAAAAAUUUGAGAUACAAAUUCAAAGAAGUGACUAUCUACAUUUUCCACAUCCCACUUAUAUCUUAGCCUAUUUUAAACUACUUCUAACUUUUUGCAUAUUUUUUUAAAAUUAAGAAUUAGGACAAUUAUGGAAGAAUAUGUACAUAGAUAAAAGUGAAAAGAUAUUCCUUCUCUUAGAAUCAGCCACCAUGAAUCCUUAGGAGGCCACUGAACAUGUCAGCAAAGAGCAGGAACCAGGCAGAAGCCAGCCUGGCUGCUUCUGGGUCCUUCCUGGUCCAGUCAUGUGUGUCCAGGCAGGACACAGUGGUGCCUCAGUUUCCUCACCUCUAAAUGAAGAUGAUGAUGAUGAUAGUACUUAACCCACAGGGGUACUGUCAUGAGCUAACUCAUGUAAAACACUAGAAUAUACUUGACAUAAAUGGUAAAUAAUAUUACUAUUAUUAUCAUUGUUACUAAAGGUAUAUUUCUGUGCAUAAACAGAGCUAAAAGGAAAGAAAACUAGUCAGAAAAACUAUUAUAAAUGUUAGACCAUUCUAUAGAUUCUAUUUUAUGAAAAUUAUUAUAUUUAAUUUUAGCAGAUUUGAAUUGAAGUUGAAAAUGAAAGGACUAAUUAAAGAGACUUCACUUUGAAAUAAAUGUCUCCUUACCACACA